GAAUAUUGCGCAAUGGGCGAAAGCCUGACGCAGCGACGCCGCGUGGGUGAUGAAGGCCUUCGGGUCGUAAAGCCCUGUCAGGAGGGACGAAAUCUCGCCGAUCGAAUACAUCGGCGACUUGACGGUACCUCCGGAGGAAGCACCGGCUAACUCCGUUCCAGCAGCCGCGGUAAUACGGAGGGUGCGAGCGUUGUUCGGAAUUACUGGGCGUAAAGCGCGUGUAGGCGGCCUUUUAAGUCUGGUGUGAAAGCCCGGGGCUCACCCCCGGAAGUGCACUGGAUACUGAGAGGCUCGAGUACCGGAGAGGAGGGUGGAAUUCCUGGUGUAGCGGUGAAAUGCGUAGAUAUCAGGAGGAACACCGGUGGCGAAGGCGGCCCUCUGGACGGAUACUGACGCUGAGACGCGACAGCGUGGGGAGCAAACAGG
rnacentral:rRNA from 1 species